rnacentral:rRNA from 1 species
CAGCCGCCGCGGGAAAACGAAGGGUGCAAGCGUUACUCGGAAUUACUGGGCGUAAAGCGUGCGUAGGUGGUGGUUUAAGUCCGUUGUGAAAGCCCUGGGCUCAACCUGGGAAUUGCAGUGGAUACUGGGUCACUAGAGUGUGGUAGAGGAUAGUGGAAUUUCCGGUGUAGCAGUGAAAUGCGUAGAGAUCGGAAGGAACAUCUGUGGCGAAGGCGACUAUCUGGGCCAACACUGACACUGAGGCACGAAAGCGUGGGGAGCAAACAGGAUUAGAUACCCGCGUAGUCCCUGUCUCUUAUAC